rnacentral:rRNA from 1 species
CAGCCGCCGCGGGAACACGGAGGGUGCAAGCGUUAUCCGGAUUUAUUGGGUUUAAAGGGUCCGUAGGCGGACUUAUAAGUCAGUGGUGAAAGCCUGUCGCUUAACGAUAGAACUGCCAUUGAUACUGUAAGUCUUGAGUAUAUUUGAGGUAGCUGGAAUAAGUAGUGUAGCGGUGAAAUGCAUAGAUAUUACUUAGAACACCAAUUGCGAAGGCAGGUUACCAAGAUAUAACUGACGCUGAGGGACGAAAGCGUGGGUAGCGAACAGGAUUAGAUACCCCAGUAGUCCCUGUCUCUUAUAC